GACGAACGCUGGCGGCGUGCUUAACACAUGCAAGUCGAGCGGAAAGGCCACUUCGGUGGUACUCGAGCGGCGAACGGGUGAGUAACACGUGAGUAAUCUGCCCCUGGCUUUGGGAUAGCCACCGGAAACGGUGAUUAAUACCGGAUACGACCACUUCUCGCAUGGGAUGGUGGUGGAAAGUUUUUUCGGCCAGGGAUGUGCUCGCGGCCUAUCAGCUUGAUGGUGAGGUAAUGGCUCACCAUGGCUUCGACGGGUAGCCGGCCUGAGAGGGUGACCGGUCACAGUGGGACUGAGACACGGCCCAGACUCCUACGGGGGGAAGCAGUGGGGAAUAUUGGACAAUGGGCGGAAGCCUGAUCCAGCAACGCCGCGUGAGGGAUGACGGCCUUCGGGUUGUAAACCUCUUUCAGCAGGGACGAAGCGCAAGUGACGGUACCUGCAGAAGAAGCACCGGCCAACUACGUGCCAGCAGCCGCCGUAA
rnacentral:rRNA from 1 species